UUUCAAUGUAAGGAUGCACAACAUCGAAGAGAACCGCUAUCUUUCAACGAGGAACUGGUGAGGAAUCUAUAAUACCUUUUUUGCGGGGCUGUAAAAAUCGUGGGGAAGAAAACCGAAAGUGAGACAGCAGAUAGUCUCCCCUACAGUGAAAAAUUGAGAGACCGGGAGAAUGCGGUGGACUGUUCCAUGUUUCCUCCUCUUCGCCGGGUACUUUAUGGCCAUGGACUGCGUAUCUGCUGGGGGACAAUGCAAAGAGGAACGGAGCAUAAGUGGGAUGGCUCUACAAGGAUUCGUCUUUAAAAAGCUUUCCGUCAGAGCCUUUCACGAGUGUGAUAUCAGGUGUGAAAGAGAACUCACUUGUCAAAGCUAUAACUACGUCGUAGAGGAAAAUUUGUGCGAACUGAAUAACCGAACCAAGGAGGCAAGACCUGAACAUUUCCGCUCAGAUCCGGCACGUGUUUACUUACGGCGCUUGAGCAACCGGGCUCCUCUGGGUUCCAUUCCGGAGCUCCCAGCGCAUUCGUGUCAGGAAAUAAAGGCAAGCGAAGGCAAAGAAACCGUUAGCAGCAAGUACUGGUUGGAUCCAACCGGGAAUGGAACGGCAGUGUUGUUUUGUUGCGACAUGACUUUAGAAGGUUAAUGACCGUCAGUUUUCGUAUCACUUGAGUAAUGUUUUGAGCAUAACUUGCAUAUUAUUGCUGUUGACUUCUUCUUUGUGUAAAAUAGAUCUAAACUCUUCAUUUACUUUUUGCGUAUGAGAGCUUUUUAGGUUUCCCAUUGCCAAAGCUUGAAAAGUUUAUUUUUAAUUUAGACAUUGAUGAAUGCAUCACCGGCAACCAUAACUGUGCUUUAUUUGUCAAACUCAUAAAGGGAGUGCCCGGUUACCCGGGGAGCAUUUUGGUUUGAAUGUUGACAAAUCGUUGCUGACUACCCCCGGUCGGGCUAAUUAUAGUUACCCAACACCGCAAAAGUGUCCUAACUUUUGUGAAGCGGCUGUUUUCGAAUUUGCGAGCGUAGCAAUCUCGAAAUAAAUGUAGCGUUGCGAAGGCGUUGUGGACGCAAUCGCGUAGCGAGUGAACUGACAUGGAACUUCGACAUCUCUUCUUCGAUUCUACGAAGGAAUUGAGCCGGCAGGGCUAUUUUCAGCGCAUUGAUUCGCUUCCAGCGGCGGGCACUACGGAAAUCAGUGUCCGGCCUUGUCUUUCUUUUAGUAGUGGAAACCAACAGAACGAUAACUCGCCGAAAUCGCGUUAGAACGGCCAGAGCAGCUG
rnacentral:misc_RNA from 1 species